GAUGAACGCUGGCGGCGUGCUUAACACAUGCAAGUCGAACGAUGAAGCCCAGCUUGCUGGGUGGGUUAGUGGCGAACGGGUGAGUAACCCGUGAGUAACCUGCCCUUAACUCUGGGAUAAGCCUGGGAAACUGGGUCUAAUACCGGAUAGGAGCGUCCACCGCAUGGUGGGUGUUGGAAAGAUUUAUCGGUUUUGGAUGGACUCGCGGCCUAUCAGCUUGUUGGUGAGGUAAUGGGUCACCAAGGCGACGACGGGUAGCCGGCCUGAGAGGGUGACCGGCCACACGGGGACUGAGACACGGCCCAGACUCCUACGGGAGGCAGCAGUGGGGAAUAUUGCACAAUGGGCGCAAGCCUGAUGCAGCGACGCCGCGUGAGGGAUGACGGCCUUCGGGUUGUAAACCUCUUUCAGUAGGGAAGAAGCGAAAGUGACGGUACCUGCAGAAGAAGCACCGGCUAACUACGUG
rnacentral:rRNA from 1 species